GAUGAACGCUGGCGGCGUGCCUAAUACAUGCAAGUCGAGCGAACAGACGAGGAGCUUGCUCCUCUGACGUUAGCGGCGGACGGGUGAGUAACACGUGGAUAACCUACCUAUAAGACUGGGGUACCUUCGGGAAACCGGAGCUAAUACCGGAUAAUAUCUUGAACCGCAUGGGUCAAUAGUGAAAGACGGUUUUGCUGUCACUUAUAGAUGGAUCCGCGCCGCAUUAGCUAGUUGGUAAGGUAACGGCUUACCAAGGCGACGAUGCGUAGCCGACCUGAGAGGAUGAUCGGCCACACUGGAACUGAGACACGGUCCAGACUCCUACGGGAGGCAGCAGUAGGGAAUCUUCCGCAAUGGGCGAAAGCCUGACGGAGCAACGCCGCGUGAGUGAUGAAGGUCUUCGGAUCGUAAAACUCUGUUAUUAGGGAAGAACAAAUGGGUACGUAACUAUGCACGUCUUGACGGUACCGAAUCAGAAAGCCCCGGCUAACUACGUG
rnacentral:rRNA from 1 species